GAUGAACGCUGGCGGCGUGCCUAAUACAUGCAAGUCGAGCGAACGGACGAGAAGCUUGCUUCUCUGAUGUUAGCGGCGGACGGGUGAGUAACACGUGGAUAACCUACCUAUAAGACUGGGAUAACUUCGGGAAACCGGAGCUAAUACCGGAUGAUAUUUUGAACCGCAUGGUUCAAAAGUGAAAGACGGUCUUGCUGUCACUUAUAGAUGGAUCCGCGCUGCAUUAGCUAGUUGGUAAGGUAACGGCUUACCAAGGCAACGAUGCAUAGCCGACCUGAGAGGGUGAUCGGCCACACUGGAACUGAGACACGGUCCAGACUCCUACGGGAGGCAGCAGUAGGGAAUCUUCCGCAAUGGGCGAAAGCCUGACGGAGCAACGCCGCGUGAGUGAUGAAGGUCUUCGGAUCGUAAAACUCUGUUAUUAGGGAAGAACAUAUCUGUAAGUAACUGUGCACAUCUUGACGGUACCUAAUCAGAAAGCCACGGCUAACUACGUG
rnacentral:rRNA from 1 species